AAGAGUUGUAAGAAAAACUCCCUAAACCACCUGUGAAUUUACCUGUUUUCGUUGCUUCGGCAGGCGGCCCCAGGGCGGGGCCAUGGCCUGUAAAGGUGCCUGCCGGAGGGUACAAAAGCCCUAUUUGUUUUAGCAGCCGUCUGAGUCAGAAAAACAAAAAAUAAGUCA
rnacentral:misc_RNA from 1 species